GUAAAAAUAGUACAAGAGUUAGUAUAGUUUUUUGAAAAAAAACAGAUAAAUUAUUUCAAAUGAUUUUUUUUACA
rnacentral:tRNA from 1 species